rnacentral:rRNA from 1 species
AUGAUUAUAUUCUUGCGAACUGCUCUAUAACACGUGCAUAACCUGCCCUAUGCUCUGGGAUAACCUUGGGAAACUGAGAAUGCACCGGGUAGAUCACAACGCCUGGAACGGUGUGUGGUUGAAAGGUUACGGCAUAGGAUGGGUCUGCGGCGUAUCAGGUCGUUGGGGUGUAAUGGACCUCCUAGCCAUCUACGCGUACGGGUUGUGAGAGCAAUAGCCCGGAAAUGGAUUCUGAGACACGAAUCCCGAGCCCUCUGGGUGCAACAGGGGCAAAAACUUCUCACUGGAGGAAACUGCCAUGAGGGAACUCCCAAUGACUACGCGUUUGUGUAGCUCUUUUCUUAACUAUUAAUCGGUUUUGGAAUAAGGGCUGGGAAAUACCGGUGCCAGCCGCCGCGGUAAUACCGGCAGCUCGAGUGGUCGUCGCUUUUAUUGGGCCUAAAACGUCCGUAGCCUGUUCUGGUAAAUCUGUGGGUAAAUCAACCAGCUUAACUGGUUGAAUUCUGCAGAGACUGCCAGACUAGGGACCGGGAGAGGUGUGGGGUACUCUAAGGAUAUGGGUAAAAUCCUGUAUUCCUCAAGGACCACUGUGUGCGAAGGCGUCUACUAGAAACCGAUUCGACGGUCAGGGACGAAGCCUGACGACCGAUCGAAUAGAUACUGCUAGUCUACGUGUAACUGCUGUGACUAGAGUCAGGUCGCAGUCGAUCCCCUUGCGU